GCAGUGGUGGUUCAGUGGCAGAAUCCUUGCUUUCCAAGUGGGACACCCUGGUUCGAUUCCCAGCCAAUGCA
rnacentral:tRNA from 1 species